CCCCACCCCUCGCUCUCCAUUGGUGGUGCCACUGCUGCUCGUGCGUGUGCGCGUUCUUCGACAUGUCACAGUCCCACCCGCCCAUCUCUCCUCCUCGUGCCUCCUCUCGUGCUAUGGGCUCUAUCUUGCGUUGUGAUACAGGGUGCCGGAUACGACAAGAAGAGGUUUACAUUGCGGAGCCGAGACGGCACUUAGCAAGCCCCCCUCCCAGAGGUACAGCACGCGGCUGUUGCGGCGGCUCUUGUUGCCGUGGCGCGCGCCACAGAGAGGGUCCCUUCACUUCCGUUUUGCUCUCCGCCCCGGCAUCAUUCCGUGGCACAGAGGGCGUGAGAAAGCAGGACGGGGGGCCUCCUCGCGCACGUGCGUGUGUGGUGAGCAAAGGGCGAACGACACUCUUGUCCCAUAGUCAUGCGGCGCGCGUUGCACGCGGCGGCGCUGCCGAGCCGCGCGCCUCUCACGCCCCGACGGUACAAGUCGUACGUGCUGAAGUUCUUGCGCGGCCAGUUGCCCCACGAUCUCAAAGACUGUGCGGGUGCGCUCGGGUGCUUGUACGGCACGUUGCCCGACGUGGACGAGUACAGGCAAUUUGUGGUGCCGCUGCAGGUGCUUCAGCAGUACCAUCAGCUGGGAUACGCUAAGCUGCCGCGCCCGGUGCUAGACCCGCCACAGGUGGACAUUCUCGCGGACGAGGUGAACCAGCUCGCCAACAACGUCGAACAUCACCCCAAGUCGGAGCAUCUCUACGCCACCUCGCUCGCCGACUUGACCGGCGGCCCGCUCUUCUAUUGCCAGGGCCAGUGGCGGUGCGCUUGGGGAAUGCACGACCUCGUAUACCUGCCGACGCUUACCGUCGCUGCGUCGCAGGCGCUCGGAAAUCGCCUUGUGCGGCUUUGGUAUGACGAGGUCUUCAUGAAGGAGGCCCGCACUGGCCCGUGUGUUCCGUGGCAGCAGAACUACGUGCGUUGGCAGCAUACGACACCGGUGAACCACGUUAGCAUUAUGAUUGCGCUCGACACCCUCAACAAGGACCGUGGCGCACCUUGUUUGAUUCCCGGCAGCCACCGCUGGCGUGAGGGCCAACUGCUGCCGCCAGUCCCGUACGAUCCCACGCAGAGCGAGGCGCAGCAGCUGAACACGAUUUGGGACAUCACGAACGAUGACGAGCAGGAGAUGCUCGCCGACACGCCGCCCGCCACGGUGGAUCUGCGCCGCGGCGAGGCACUGCUGAUUCAUCCGAAGACGCUCUUCGCGACGCACGGCAACCGCUCCCUUGACGCGGCGCGGUGCUGCUGCGUGCACUACAUGGGCGAGGAAACGUGUGCGGUGCAGGAUGGUCCGUUGCUGCCGCAUACCACCCGCUUCCGUGCCGGCACGCGUGUCAGCGGCCCGUUCUUCCCCGUCGUCUUCGACCCGGCCAUGACGGAGGAUCUCCUGAUGCUAGACAACAAGGCGGACGGCGCCGCCGCUUGAGGGCUCGUGUCUUCGCUGUGUGGUUGGUGCGCUGGGCCGUUCCAGGGCCGAUACUUUUCACCCCGUGGCAUUCUUCAGGGUCGGCGCGCGCGGCACCCCUUCACAAGUCCCCGGAUGCGCGAGAGUAAACGACAAACAAC
rnacentral:misc_RNA from 1 species